AAUGAAUGCUGGCGGCGCGCCUAAUACAUGCAAGUCGAGCGAGAAGACGUAGCAAUACGUUUGUAAAGCGGCGAACGGGUGAGGAAUACAUGGGUAACCUACCCUCGAGUGGGGAAGUAACUAGCCGAAAGGUUGGCUAAUACCGCGUACGCUUCUUGGACUUCGGUUCAGGGAGGAAAGCGAUGCCGAGGGUAUCGCGCUCUUGGAUGGGCUCAUGUCCUAUCAGCUUGNGGUGAGGUAACGGCUCACCAAGGCUUCGACGGGUAGCUGGUCUGAGAGGACGAUCAGCCACACUGGCACUGCGACACGGGCCAGACUCCUACGGGAGGCAGCAGUAAGGAAUAUUGCGCAAUGGGCGAAAGCCUGACGCAGCGACGCCGCGUGGGGGAGUGAAGGGU
rnacentral:rRNA from 1 species